rnacentral:tmRNA from 1 species
GGGGGCGACAGGUUUCGACGGCGUGUUGGAGGGUCUGGAGGAGCAGGUCGAGUUAUGUCCGUAAUCCUCGUUAAACAUUCGGGCAAGACGAUAAACGUCGACAAUAAUUACGCUUUGGCGGCUUAGGCCGUCACGUCGAGGGACGCGGCUAGUCUACUGGCCCGCCUGAGGCGUCACUUUAGGUAGAUGCUCCGCUCGUCGUCCGGCCUUGCGCGAGUGGAAAAGACAAAAGACCUUGGAAUGUGGAAGGUCGUUUUCAACCUAACCGCGGACGACAAUCAAUUGAAAACUAAACCUGUAGCGCUGCCACGGCUGGCCCACGUCGGACGGGGGUUCGAUUCCCCCCGCCUCCAUUA